rnacentral:miRNA from 1 species
CGGUUGGCGGUGUGAGGA